UACGUAGGGUGCAAGCGUUAAUCGGAAUUACUGGGCGUAAAGCGUGCGCAGGCGGCUUUGCAAGACAGAUGUGAAAUCCCCGGGCUCAACCUGGGAACUGCAUUUGUGACUGCAUGGCUAGAGUGCGGCAGGAGGGGGAUGGAAUUCCGCGUGUAGCAGUGAAAUGCGUAGAUAUGCGGAGGAACACCGAUGGCGAAGGCAAUCCCCUGGGCCUGCACUGACGCUCAUGCACGAAAGCGUGGGGAGCAAACAGG
rnacentral:rRNA from 1 species